UUUCUUUCCUUUUUAUUUUUCUGUUGUUCCAAACAAGUGAAGUUCAAUGUUUCCAUCAUGUUUCCCUCCCUUCAGUUUCUUUCCUCUAUCUAUCUUUUGAAAGAAACACAGUUGAGAAAAAGUUAUGAAAGUUACCAACAGCCAAUCCGCGGGGCAGUAAAAGCAUGCAUGAUUUUGUUAACUGCAGUGAAGCAUGGUCCUCGUUCUUACUGUAAAACCCCCAUUUGUUGUUUUCCGCAUUGCCACAUCUGGGUUUUACCAAUCACAAUGAUUUCCUCAAAUUCUCAGGUUUUGGAAGAAGAAACUCUGGGUAAAUGGAAUGUUUGA